rnacentral:rRNA from 1 species
UGGGGAAUCUUGGACAAUGGGGGCAACCCUGAUCCAGCCAUGCCGCGUGAACGAUGAAGGCCUUAGGGUUGUAAAGUUCUUUCGCCGGUGACGAUAAUGACGGUAACCGGAGAAGAAGCCCCGGCUAACUCCGUGCCAGCAGCCGCGGUAAUACGGAGGGGGCUAGCGUUGUUCGGAAUUACUGGGCGUAAAGCGCACGUAGGCGGACUAUUAAGUCGGGGGUGAAAUCCCGGGGCUCAACCCCGGAACUGCCUUCGAUACUGGUAGUCUGGAGGUCGAGAGAGGCGAGUGGAAUUCCGAGUGUAGAGGUGAAAUUCGUAGAUAUUCGGAGGAACACCAGUGGCGAAGGCGGCUCGCUGGCUCGAUACUGACGCUGAGGUGCGAAAGCGUGGGGAGCAAACAGG